GAUGAACGCUGGCGGCGUGCCUAAUACAUGCAAGUCGAGCGAACAGAUGAGGAGCUUGCUCCUCUGACGUUAGCGGCGGACGGGUGAGUAACACGUGGAUAACCUACCUAUAAGACUGGGAUAACUUCGGGAAACCGGAGCUAAUACCGGAUAAUAUAUUGAACCGCAUGGUUCAAUAGUGAAAGACGGUUUUGCUGGCACUUAUAGAUGGAUCCGCGCCGCAUUAGCUAGUUGGUAAGGUAACGGCUUACCAAGGCAACGAUGCGUAGCCGACCUGAGAGGGUGAUCGGCCACACGGGAACUGAGACACGGUCCAGACUCCUACGGGAGGCAGCAGUAGGGAAUCUGCCGCAAUGGGCGAAAGCCUGACGGAGCAACGCCGCGUGAGUGAUGAAGGUCUUCGGAUCGUAAAACUCUGUUAUUGGGGAAGAACAAAUGUGUAAGUAACUAUGCACGUCUUGACGGUACCUAAUCAGAAAGCCACGGCUAACUACGUG
rnacentral:rRNA from 1 species